rnacentral:rRNA from 1 species
GACGAACGCUGGCGGCGUGCCUAAUACAUGCAAGUUGAGCGCUGAAGGUUGGUACUUGUACCAACUGGAUGAGCAGCGAACGGGUGAGUAACGCGUGGGGAAUCUGCCUUUGAGCGGGGGACAACAUUUGGAAACGAAUGCUAAUACCGCAUAAAAACUUUAAACACAAGUUUUAAGUUUGAAAGAUGCAAUUGCAUCACUCAAAGAUGAUCCCGCGUUGUAUUAGCUAGUUGGUGAGGUAAAGGCUCACCAAGGCGAUGAUACAUAGCCGACCUGAGAGGGUGAUCGGCCACAUUGGGACUGAGACACGGCCCAAACUCCUACGGGAGGCAGCAGUAGGGAAUCUUCGGCAAUGGACGAAAGUCUGACCGAGCAACGCCGCGGGAGUGAAGAAGGUUUUCGGAUCGUAAAACUCUGUUGGUAGAGAAGAACGUCGGUGAGAGUGGAAAGCUCAUCAAGUGACGGUAACUACCCAGAAAGGGACGGCUAACUACGUG